rnacentral:tRNA from 1 species
GGAGGGGUCGCAUAGUCUGGCCGAGUGCGGCGGUCUUGAAAACCGCAGUCCUUUACGGGACCGUGGGUUCGAAUCCCACCCCCUCCUCAA